GAUGAAUGCUGGCGGCGUGCCUAAUACAUGCAAGCCGAGCGGUAACACUUCGGGCGACGAGCGGCGGACGGCAGAGUAACGCGUAGGAACGCACCCCAAACUGAGGGAUAACGCACCGUAAGGUGUGCUAAUACCGCAUGUGAUCUUCGGAUUAAAGCUUCGGCGGUUUGGGAACGGCCUGCGUAUGAUUAGCUUGUUGGUGAGGUAAUGGCUCACCAAGGCGACGAUCAUUAGCUGGUCUGAGAGGAUGAUCAGCCUGACUGGAACUGAGACACGGUCCAGACUCCUACGGGAGGCAGCAGUAGGGAAUUUUCCACAAUGGGCGAAAGCCUGAUGGAGCAACGCCGCGUGCAGGAUGAAGGCCUUCGGGUUGUAAACUGCUUUUGUCUGUGAAGAUUAUGACGGUAGCAGACGAAUAAGGACCGGCUAACUACGUGCCAGCAGCCGCAGUAA
rnacentral:rRNA from 1 species